rnacentral:lncRNA from 1 species
CUCUCAAUACUUGUUAUGUUGUCAUACACACUUGGCAAUCCUAACCAGAUGUCAUGUUCUCUACUUAGUUCGAUGCCGUGAACAUAUAAAUAAGAUAUUACACAUUCUUUUUUGCAUUCAAGUUUAAUAUGUUGAUUAACAUCAAUUUCUUCAUCUAAACAAAGUUCUGCCACUGUCUGGUUAUCAGACAAAUAUGAAUGAUCCAAAGAGACUGAAUCCACACUGGUGCAUGUAAGCUCUUCUGUUUCAGAUGACAAAAGAUCUUCAUCAUGUGCGAUGUCUGGCGUAAGUGCAUGUAUUUCAGUGCAUGUAUGCAUUAUUUCAGUUUGCCCUUUGUCUAAUUUUGGUUUGCCAGUUCCACGUCUUUUCCUGUGAUAUGGCACAUUCUACCUUUACUUCCUCUUAGGCAUUCUAUAAAGUAAUGAGGACAGAAAUUAAUAAACAGAAGAAAAA